AUGAGCUUCAAAAAUUUUUUGUUUGUUUUGCUUUAUUUUGAUUCUCUGAGUUGGAAAUUGGUGGAAAUGCAAGGAGUUACUUUAGUAGGCAUCAGCACAAGUCUGUUGAAUCCAGCAGUAUCAAGGUAUCCAUGGUAUGUCAGAGGAAUGCAGCAGAGAACCAACCAACGUCUGGCUUAAUCUCUUUAUCCUGCAUCAAUCUGAAACUCCCAGAGAGAGACAAUCCUGACUGAGGCUCUCUGAAUUCAGCAUCAGUGCUCCUGUUUCCUAGAAGAAAAAUGAAGGAGAAAUAAGUUUUAGGUCCAUGCACCCACAAAUAGUGUAAUAUGAAUUAGGCUAAAUUUCACACAAUUUAUUUAAACUGGCUCAUUUCCUUAGAUCCUUAGAAGGGUCUGCUUUGUCAGGUUCUGCUCUUCUGUCUGGUAAAAAGAAACACAAACACAUUAAUGCUAAAGUGAAUUAUUGUCUUUUUUCCAACUCUAUUGUUGAACAAGUGAAAAUUAUUCCAUCUAGUUGGAGAAGUAAAGCAGGCUGAAAAAAACAUUGCUGCUUUGUCGUGUGUGUGCAGAGAAGAUACAGCAAUCUGAUGGGAAGGCAGGGAUCCUCACUGGGGAACUCUACAUGAAGUCCACACAUGCUUUUGACUGCACAGCCCCUUUCUGUGGGAGUUCCUUCUUACUCCCAAUAUCAUAAGACUGAAGGAGAGGAAAUGUGACUUGGAUGUCAACCACAGUAAGUUGUCUUCAUGGGAUGACUGUGGUGAACCAGUCAACACUAGUUAUUGCUGGGGACUUGUUUGCAAACACACAUGUUUGUAGCUAGAGUAGAUCAGAAACAAAACACAUCCUUUAUUUCAUUCAGGCUGGGAGAAGGUUCUCAUCAUCACAAGUCAAAUUGUGCCUUGACAAGCUGAUGUAGUGCACACAGAUUUUCCCUGCCUGUGAUGUUUUUAAAGCCAUGCUAUGCAUUGACGUGAUCACAAAAUAUUUGAGCUCAUGAUCUCCUGUGCUGUAACUGUGGUGAGGAUAAACCUAAAGGAAGUAUCUGCUCUUCAUGCAAGGACAGCGUAGCUACAGGUAGGAGCAUCAGUGUUAGUGUAGUUAACCCUUUCCUUUAUUCAGAGGAAUUGACCCCCUACUGAACUUGCGUCUGUAUGAAGGAAAAAAUACUUGACCUUAAA
rnacentral:lncRNA from 1 species